UGGGGAAUAUUGCACAAUGGGCGGAAGCCUGAUGCAGCAACGCCGCGUGCGGGAUGACGGCCUUCGGGUUGUAAACCGCUUUCGCCUGUGACGAAGCGUGAGUGACGGUAAUGGGUAAAGAAGCACCGGCUAACUACGUGCCAGCAGCCGCGGUGAUACGUAGGGUGCGAGCGUUGUCCGGAUUUAUUGGGCGUAAAGGGCUCGUAGGUGGUUGAUCGCGUCGGAAGUGUAAUCUUGGGGCUUAACCCUGAGCGUGCUUUCGAUACGGGUUGACUUGAGGAAGGUAGGGGAGAAUGGAAUUCCUGGUGGAGCGGUGGAAUGCGCAGAUAUCAGGAGGAACACCAGUGGCGAAGGCGGUUCUCUGGGCCUUUCCUGACGCUGAGGAGCGAAAGCGUGGGGAGCGAACAGGCUUAGAUACCCUGGUAGUCCACGCUGCAAACGGUGGGUACUAGGUGUGGGGUCCAUUCCACGGGUUCCGUGCCGUAGCUAACGCUUUAAGUACCCGCCUGGGGAGUACGGCCGCAAGGCUAAAACUUAAAUGAAUUGACGGGGUCAUAGCUGUUUCCU
rnacentral:rRNA from 1 species